rnacentral:rRNA from 1 species
GACGAACGCUGGCGGCGUGCCUAAUACAUGCAAGUAGAACGCACAGUUUAUACCGUAGCUUGCUACACCAUAGACUGUGAGUUGCGAACGGGUGAGUAACGCGUAGGUAACCUGCCUGGUAGCGGGUGAUAACUAUUGGAAACGAUAGCUAAUACCGCAUAAUAUUAAUUAUUGCAUGAUAAUUAAUUGAAAGGUGCAAUUGCACCACUACCAGAUGGACCUGCGUUGUAUUAGCUAGUAGGUGAGGUAACGGCCCACCUAGGCGACGAUACAUAGCCGAACUGAGAGGGUGAUCGGCCACACUGGGAAUGAGACACGGCCCAGACUCCUAAGGGAGGCAGCAGGAGGGAAUCUUCGGCAAUGGACGAAAGGCUGACCGAGCAACGCCGCGGGAGGGAAGAAGGGUUUCGGAUCGUAAAGCUCUGUUGUAAGAGAAGAAAGGGUGUGAGAGUGGAAAGUUCACACUGUGACGGUAUCUUACCAGAAAGGGACGGCUAACUACGUG